CUUUGUGAAGUACACAGAAGAGACAAUUUUCUGCUUGGGGAUAAAGUUCAGAAGGUGGAACUGGGUGGUGCGGUGCUGGCUGCCUGCCAGCUGUGAACAAGGAACCAGAAUACCUGGAAUGUGGGCCUCCUGGGAUGUCUCUGCAGAGUCUCCCGAUGUCAUGGACUAUCAUUUGCCAACCACCCUUCUUCUAGGAGAUUUCAUGGAGCUCUUCCUUCUCUAGGGUCCGGGGAUCUGAAGCCAUGGUUAAGAAGGAGCAGGCCUUCCUGAAGGUUGGGUCUCAAUAUGGGGUCCAGAAGGGGCACCUCCUAGAAACCAGAAAUGUUUCUCUCAGGAUGGGUCAGAGGCCCAAAUACAGGCCUGUGGAUCACCAAAACCCAAGAGCUUUCCACUCCUGACUCCCUGCAAAGCCCAAGAUUCAUAGCUACCUCUUCGAAAGUUUUGAAAAAAGAGGAUUUUCUUGUCUCAAAGUUCCCUCUGGCCCGGAGGCUGUUGAAUGAGGACUCUUUUCAGAGUGAAAGAAGGAAGUGGGGGUUGGAAGAGUGACUGAAGAUGAAGCUGGAAAGGUAGAACCUGAUCAUGAAGAGUUUAUGUACCAUGGCCAAGAGUUUGAAUCUGACUCCAAGAGCAAGGGAGCCAGAGGAAGCCUGCAGGCAAAAGUGACAUGAUGGCAUUUGUGUGUUGGAAAGAUAACUGGUGGCAACAAAGACAGUGGAGAAGGUCUGUGACUUUGGUGGUGGUGAUGGAGCUGGACUAGAUGGGAAAGCCAUUUUGGAAGAAAUGAUGCAAUAUGGCGGCUAAUGAGAUGGGAGGGGAGAGGGUGCUGUCAGAAAAGGCAACAUGCAUAUGUACAGCUGUUAACGUGCUUUCCCAUAAAUCUACUUACCUGACUCUCAUAAUAGUUUUCUG